CCAUAUUGAAACACCACACUCAAAAAGGUAAUCAGCAGCACUGAAACAUUUCAUAAGCAGUUCUAAAGCACUGUGAGGACUAAGAAAUAUACAUUACUAGAUAGACUCUAACAUCCAUUAUAUAAGCCAUGGGUUGUAAUCAGCCAUACUGCAGCUUGGAUACUGACCCAGAAAAGUAUCAAACCGGGUCAAACCAUUCACUUCAAAAAAUGCUGUAGCAGAACUGCUUAACAUAUGAGAAAAUAUUUCUCUUAUUUCAAACUUAUGGCUGAUAUAUGGCUGUAGUACUGCUUUUGUUGCAGCAUUUAUGUACAUUAUUUAUCUGAAGGCAGCUCAUUGAGAAAGCCACUCAUUUUCAUUAGCCACUCAUAGAUCUUUUCUUUCAUCAGGUCUGAUUAGUGAAGUGAUUUGGCUUGUUAAAAAAAGGUUGAUGAUGAAGUCAAAGCAAUUUUAAUGGCAAAUGGACAGAGAAGUAUGCAUUCCUUAGUCUUCAAAUCUAAUCAGUCGUCAGUUCAGUGUCAAAUUGAUAUCUCUUAUUUAUAGCCAUGAACUAAUCACUAAUGGUGAAGUAUUAAAAGGUAAUUGUUGUUGCCAUUCAGUCAUGUUAACUGCUUAUCUGGACCUUUGUAAGCAAGGAAUUUUAUGUAGCUGAACCUGCACAAAUUUCACUUGAAAAGCCCUGAUAUAAGCUUAUACCUAGGAUAUUCCACCUCAAUGGCUGCAGGCUUUGCCCAUGUAUUUUGUAAUAAAGUAUUUCAGUGGACUUCAAAGAAGGCAGAGGAAGAUUGCGUAUGAAAUUCCUACCUAUUGAAACCAGACUAAAUGUGCGAGACAAUCGUAAGUCCACAUUGCUCCUCUUAAGUCAUCUGAGUUAUCUGUCUCUCCCAGCACUCUGGAACUCAUGUCUUUUGGAGAAGUGAGAAAAUCCUAAUUCCCACCUGACAAAGGGGCAUAUUGGACAUGUAGAUAGUGCUGAAUAUCUUAGAGCACUUAUUUCAGAAGUGAAGAUGGGCAGUGAAGGUCAUUACUUUUGAAGACUAGAAGUUUAGAAGACAGGAACUGCUGCGCAUCCCUGGUUUUUAAGACUUCACAUUAGGAGGUGCGAGGAAACCAGAGAACCCAGAGGAAACCCACACAGACAAGUGGAGAUCAUGCAAAACUGCACAAAGACAUUAAACUGAGCUCAGAAUCAAACCAGGCACCCUGGAGCUGUGAAAGUUACCCACUACACCACCAUGAAACCUUUUACUUUGGUAGAAAAUACAUUUUUGUUCAUUUAAUUCAGCCUGUAUACGCUCCUUC
ensembl:lncRNA